rnacentral:rRNA from 1 species
AUUGAACGCUGGCGGCAUGCCUUACACAUGCAAGUCGAACGGUAACAGGUCUUCGGAUGCUGACGAGUGGCGAACGGGUGAGUAAUACAUCGGAACGUGCCUAGUAGUGGGGGAUAACUACUCGAAAGAGUGGCUAAUACCGCAUGAGAUCUACGGAUGAAAGCGGGGGAUCGCAAGACCUUGUGCUACUAGAGCGGCCGAUGGCAGAUUAGGUAGUUGGUGGGAUAAAAGCUUACCAAGCCGACGAUCUGUAGCUGGUCUGAGAGGACGAUCAGCCACACUGGGACUGAGACACGGCCCAGACUCCUACGGGAGGCAGCAGUGGGGAAUUUUGGACAGUGGGCGAAAGCCUGAUCCAGCAAUGCCGCGUGCAGGAUGAAGGCCUUCGGGUUGUAAACUGCUUUUGUACGGAACGAAAAGCCCCGGGUUAAUGCCCUGGGGUCAUGACGGUACCGUAAGAAUAAGCACCGGCUAACUACGUGCCAGCCGCCGCCGUAA